rnacentral:rRNA from 1 species
UAGGGAAUCUUCCACAAUGGACGCAAGUCUGAUGGAGCAACGCCGCGUGAGUGAAGAAGGUUUUCGGACCGUAAAGCUCUGUUGUGGUGAAGAAGGUAGAGGUAGUAACUGGCCUUUAUUUGACGGUAAUCAACCAGAAAGUCACGGCUAACUACGUGCCAGCAGCCGCGGUAAUACGUAGGUGGCAAGCGUUGUCCGGAUUAUUGGGCGUAAAGCGAGCGCAGGCGGAAGAAUAAGUCUGAUGUGAAAGCCCUCGGCUUAACCGAGGAAUUGCAUCGGAAACUGUUUUUCUUGAGUGCAGAAGAGGGAGAGUAGAACUCCAUGUGUAGCGGUGGAAUGCGUAGAUAUAUGGAAGAAUACCAGUGGCGAAGGCGGCUCUCUGGUCUGCAACUGACGCUGAGGCUCGAAAGCAUGGGUAGCGAACAGGAUUAGAUACCCUUGGUAGUCCAUGCGUAAACGAUGAGUGCUAAGUGUUGGGAGGCUUCCGCCUCUCAGUGCUGCAGCUAACGCAUUAAGCACUCCGCCUGGGGGAGUACGACCGCAAGGUUGAAAC